rnacentral:rRNA from 1 species
CGAGUGGCGGACGGGUGAGUAAUGUCGGGGAAACUGCCCGAUGGAGGGGGAUAACUACUGGAAACGGUAGCUAAUACCGCAUAACGUCGCAAGACCAAAGAGGGGGACCUUAGGGCCUCUUGCCAUCGGAUGUGCCCAGAUGGGAUUAGCUAGUAGGUGGGGUAACGGCUCACCUAGGCGACGAUCCCUAGCUGGUCUGAGAGGAUGACCAGCCACACUGGAACUGAGACACGGUCCAG